AGGCACUGGUUAUGGUUAUGGUUAGGGUUAUGGUUAUGUCUUGAAGGCAGCGGUCCCAGCGCUGCAUGGAAGGAGGCUUUGGGGGC